rnacentral:misc_RNA from 1 species
GAUGAAGAACGUAGCGAAAUGCGAUACGUAGUGUGAAUUGCAGAAUUCAGUGAAUCAUCGAAUCUUUGAACGCACAUUGCACCUCUCGGUAUUCCGGGAGGUAUGCCUGUUCGAGCGUCAUUUGUACCCUCAAGCUCUGCUUGGUGUUGGGUGUUUGUUCCGCCUCUGUGUGUGAACUCGCCUCAAAACAAUUGGCAGCCGGCGUACUUGUUUCGGAGCGCAGCACAUUUUGCGAUCCAGAUCAACGUACAGCGGCAUCCAAGAAGCCUUAUUUAACGCUCUUGACCUCGGAUCAGGUAGGGAUACCCGCUGAACUUAAGCAUAACAAUAAGCGGAGGA